rnacentral:rRNA from 1 species
UCGGUAAUUCCAGCUCCAAUAGCGUAUAUUAAAGUUGUUGCAGUUAAAAAGCUCGUAGUUGGAUUUCUGGUUCGCUGCGCCUGGCCCGCCUGCGUUAGCAGUGUGAGUGCCGGUUUUGCGCGGUAGCCAUCCUUCUGGAGAACGGGCCUGCCCUUCACUGGGUGGGGUCCGCGACCCAGAUCCUUUACUUUGAAAAAAUUAGAGUGUUUAAAGCAGGCAGUUGCUCUGAAUACAUUAGCAUGGAAUAAUAAGAUAGGACUUUGGUUCUAUUUUGUUGGUUUCUAGGACUGAAGUAAUGAUUGAUAGGGAUAGUUGGGGGUGCUAGUAUUGAGCGGCCAGAGGUGAAAUUCUUGGAUUCGCUCAAGACUAACUUAUGCGAAAGCAUUCACCAAGGAUGUCUUCUUUAAUUCAAGAANCGAAAGUUGGGGGAUCGAAGAGGAUCAGAUACCCUCGUAGUCUCAACCAUAAACUAUGCCGACUAGGGAUGCGCGGACGUUGCAUUUUCGACUUCGUGUGCACCUUAUGAGAAAUCAAAGUCUUUGGGUUCCGGGGGGAGUAUGGUCGCAAGGCUGAAACUUAAAGGAAUUGACGGAAGGGCACCACCAGGNAGUGGAGCCUGCGGCUUAAUUUGACUCAACACGGGGAAACUUACCAGGUCCAGACAUAGUGAGGAUUGACAGAUUGGAAAAUCUUUCUNGAUUCUAUGGGGGGGGGUGCAUGGCCGUUCUUAGUUGGGGGANGAUUGAUUGGUAAGGCCNUAAUUCAAUUAAACGAANCGAGACCUCGACCUGCUAAAUAGUCCGGCGAACGCUUCGGCGUUCGCGCGCGACUUCUUAGAGGGACUAUCGGUGUGUAGCCGGUGGAAGUUCGAGGCAAUAACAGGUCUGUGAUGCCCUUAGAUGUUCUGGGCCGCACGCGCGCUACACUGAUUCGUUCAUCGAGCUUACAACCUUGACCGGUAGGUCUGGGUAAUCUUUUCAAAGCGAAUCGUGCUGGGGAUAGAUUAUUGUAAUUUUUAAUCUUAAACGAGGAAUUCCUAGUAAACGCAAGUCAUCAACUUGCAUUGAUUACGUCCCUGCCCUUUGUACACACCGCCCGUCGCUACUACCGAUUGAAUGGCUUAGUGAGCUGUGGGGACCGAGGCCCCGGUUGGGUUUCCUUCCGGGCGCCUUGCGGAACCACAUCAAACUUGAUCAUUUAGAGGAAGUAAAAGUCGUAACAAGGUAGCCGUA